rnacentral:lncRNA from 1 species
UUGGGACUCUAGACAUUACCUAAUAUCAAUAAGACAAUGCAGCAGCAAAAUAUUUCCAGUGCAAUUAGCCUAGACAUUCUACUAGAAGCUAUAAACUCUUAAUGUAAAUUAGGGAAAGCACAGAGUAUAAUCAAGAGAUAGACCUAUCAAGACAUAUUAAGAUAGAUGAGACUAGGUUUACUUCCUUGUUUAAGAUGGUGAGGAGUGGUCUCUUCAUUUCGCCACUUGAGUCCUCACUUGCUAAGCUUAACAGCUUCUCCUUUCAUCACACAAGCUCACUAACUUGAAGGUGAGCGCUUACUAAGCUUCAUGAACAACCUUGUGGGAACACCUCCAUCUUCUUCAGACUUGAUGCUUACUUCCCCACUUAACCACCAUUGCACUGAGGAGAUACCUCAGCUUACUCUCCAAGUACUUCUUAUUAGAAGCUCAUUGAGUCGCUUUCUUCUUCCCUCUACUUCGGCUGCAUCUACACAUGAUCAGCUUGCAAUGGCCUUGAGGAACCAGGUCAUUGAGCUUAGAGGAUCUUCUGGUAGCUCACUUGAAUCCACACCUCAAGCUUGACUUAGUAUAGGUGCAAGCUUGAAGUGAGCCUCAAUGAGACUUCAAACCGGGAGCGCAUCACUACCUACAGCUGCGCUUAACCCAACCGAUCUGCCAUUGCCUUCAGCUCCAAUGCCUUCAGGUCAUCAGUCUCCCCAAGACUUAGGUGGUGACCUUUACUUGUGUGUCUCCAUGAACCAGGAGCACAUCACUAUCACUAGCUGCGCUAUCUCAACCGGCCAUACACACAAGUCUUUCUCCAUUGCUUUAACAAUGGCAAAGUCUUCCUCUUCUACUUGGAUGGAUGGUGAGCAAAGAACACUUCUUGUGAACCUGAAACACCACUCAAACUCCAGCAAAGAUAAGACACAAUUGCAUUGGGAUCAAUCCUUGACUUCAUCAAGUUUGAUCACCAAUGUCUCAAGCUUUAUAGCAUUAGAUAGAAUCAAGACAAUGUCAAGUUCUUAUCUAUGCAAGCAACCAUUCUCUAAAUACAAAGCAAGACCUUAUCAGAUUCAAGUCAACGUAUUUAGGCAAUUUUAAUUACUUCUUAAUCUGCAACUUAGACUUUGAUUUCUAACUCAUGACAGCAAGCAUGAUAAUAUAAUCUAUCAUAUUAACAAGACAAUUUAAUUUAGAACUGGACAUUAAGCAUUUAACCAUUUUCAAUCUUAUUGAUGUCAAAUCUUGAUUAAUAACUUAUCAAGUUUGAUUCCCACUAUCACAAGCAAUGCAACAGAUAGACACAAGGCAUUAUCAGGUUCUAUUCUUUGCAAGCUAACUCUCUAAGUACAAGCAAGAUCCUAACAGAUUCAAGACAAGUUUCUUAGGCACUCUUAAGAGCUUCUUUACUCAGCACUUAGACAUGAAUCUAAUGCUUCAAUGUAAGACAGCCACAAGAUGAUAAAAUGCUUUAAUCUUUAUCAGUCUCUAACACAUGAAUGCACCCAGUUUUAACAGUAGCAUUUAGCACAUUAAUACACAUUCAUUUAGAGCUGGGAUUAAGAAAUAACAUUAUCAACCAACAUCAGACACAAUGCAUAACCUUUGGUGAUUUCAUUUCAUGAAUGCAAUCAGGUUUAGACAAAUUCUAACUCCCUAACAAGCAUCACUAGAAUCAAGGCAUUUUUAAACAUUUCAGACACCAAACAAGACUUUUUAAAUAUCCUCGGACAGAUUCUAAACUCAUUUUCAUUUAGCAAUCUUAAACAUAUCCUCAGGUUUUCAAUCACAACAUCACAACCAUAUCAUAAAGACACAAGCUUUAAACAAGGGAAAAAGGUUUAGCUUACAACCAAGGAACCAGUGCUUGUUCCUUGAGCCUCCAAGGCAAUCUGCAUCAUAAAUGGACAAACCAACAUCUCCUUCUUUACGUGGCCUUUCUCCUUGAACCCACCAUGCCAAAGACACCUCCUUUCUUCAUGUUUGAGUUGCCACACAAGUACCAAUGCUGAAAGCUUCCUCCUUGGAAGGUUUCUUCUUGGACAGUGAAUGGGAAAGGCUUGGACAUGCUUCCAAUUGCCUUCUUUCUUCAGGGCGGACAUGAGAGAGUAUGAUGGACUUAGGACAGCUUCUAUACAUGCCAUGGAUGAGCAAAACUUCAUCUUGAAGAGAUUACACAGCCGGCUGGAAAGAACUUCUUCAACAGCUUCAAUAGCUUGAAAAUGGCAUGGGAGUGAGCUUGUGCUUGAGCUGAAGCUGGAACCAAGUUCUGAUGAACCUGGCUCUGAUACCAUAUAAGAUUUAACAGAGUUCAGGUUGUGUGUGUGAUGAACACGCCCUUAAGGGCAAGAGAUCUUGUCUUGUGACAAUAAUGGAAGAGAAUAAAAGAGAGACUGAUGGAAGAAUAAGGAUGGUGUGAGAUUAAGAGACUUUGAGUGAGAGAUUAAGAGAUUAGAGAGACUGAGAGAUUAAGUAACCAGAGAAUAGAGAUUGAGAGAUUCAAAGUAACCAAAAACUAUGAAGGAGAAGGGAAAAUCCCCCUUACUCACUUAAGAGUUACAAAACAUCACUUAUGAGCUUAUAUAUGCUCUUUACAACUUGCAAUCAUAAACCUAAAUCUAAGGGCUGUUAUAACUUGAAUUUAAAUGGAUGGAUGAGAUGGAAAGAUGGUCUUGGUCGUGGCUGGCUCUUCCUGAUGGAUAAUUGGUCCAUUUGAAUCUGGUCAAGGGAAGGCUGGCUCCUUAUUGGCUAGCUAAAGGCUCCCAUGAAUCUGCCCACUUCUUUUGCUAGAUACAUGGUCUCCUUUUGCUUUUACUUUACAGCAAGGGACUCUCCUUUCCAGCCUGUCACUCGCCAGCCUCUCCUUUGUCUUCUUCUCUUAAGAGUUUUGUGUUCUCUUACUGUGGUAACUCUCCAAAGUUACUGUAGUAACUUUGGAGUUACUGUCUCAACCAAAUAUUCUCCAAAUGGUGUUUAAGUCCCUCCUGGACUUAAACCCAAUCUUGCACAGCCAUAAGAUCACUUCUUGACUUCUUAAGACCCUCCUGAAGCUUGACAGACAAUCUCUGUAAGACUUGCCCUCUCUUUGCACUAGAACCAAACUACUCCAUACUUUUCCUUUCACUCCAUUUCUAUUCUUCAAGUUAACAUUCUAGAGCUUGCCCUAUCAUUGUACAAGCUACAUCUUCUCUUCAGUUCAACAGCCAACACCUAUGAGAUUGAUUCAUCUUCCUGGUGAUUCUCCACAACUUUAUGUAUCCAAAUCAAGCUUUUCACAAAGUGAUUCAUCCUGGUUUGAUUGGAACGACGAAGAAGCUGUCCUAUUCCCAAACUGGUAAACUGGAAUCACCUGAUUUGAAAGUGGGAUAUCUUCUUCAUGCCAACUCCUAUAAGAUUUGGCCUAGGGAUUGGCCAGUGAGCUCUUGUGCCUUAGAACCAGUGUGGUUGGACACAAGAAGCUCUGGAUCACGGCCUAAUAGGUGCAGCAACUCAAAACAGCUUUGCGCACACUUCACACUUCAGCUUCACCUCUUCAUGGAACCGGUUUGAAGUCUCCCCCUCUCAACUGACUUCACAGCCAUUUUAGAGAAGCUAGGACACGACCAGAUCAUCUUCAAAACACCAGUAAGGCUGAUCAACACUUCACACACGGCUUGCCCUCUUCAUCGAACUGGUUUGGGUCUCCCCUUCUCAACAGACUUCUCAGCCACCUUAGAGAAGCUAGGAAACUGACCAGGAACAUCUUUAGUGAGGCUCAAGCAAUGGUACCUGAUACAUUAUCCCAAAGGUGCAUCAGUACCUAUCAAAACCAAGAAAAUGAAUAUCCUGCAUCACACUUGAUGCACACAAUCUCAUAAUUCAAUCAUAAUCAUCUCAAGUAUCUUUCCAAGCACAAGCAAUGAAUAAGAUGAAUGAAAAAAAGCAAUUCAAUCAUAAUCAUCUUAAGUAUCUUUUCAAGUACAAGCAAUGAAUAAGAUGAAUGAAAAGGAUUGAAAAGAGUUUUAAAAGUCUAAGGGAACUUCCCUUGUGUUUUUGUGAGUUUCCUAACUCUCUCAAUGCACCAUCUUCAUGUCAUCAUCAACUUCUUGGAAAGGCAGAAUGGAUUGAUCAGCUUCUCGUCAAUCACCUCUCAUUGAAGCCGCAUUGAUGGAGAGCCUUCUUCCUCACUUGCCAAGGCUGCUCUGAACAGCCUCUUGCCUAGACACGCCACUGACUUGGCCCGGUUGAUGAUCCUUGUAGAAGCUUUUGCAACAAAAGACUUGUUACUGACCAUGGAUCAUAUGCAUUAAGACUCCCCCUCAAGCUUGGAACCGAGACUAGAAGGAGCUAAGCUUGUGAUGAUUCUAUGCAUCUCCAUGGUCUAAUAACUAUCAUUUUUCAUGAUAGCUUUCUUCUUGUGAGUUUUCUCUCUUCCUUAACCAGGAAUUAGGGUGUUUGAAUCACCAUAGAGAGUCCUCACAAGGCAAGUUCUCACUGUAUAAUAACUCAUGCUACACUUCAUGUAGACUAUGGACUGAACAUGUCCUAUGAUAUUAUACAAUGGCAUUCUCUCAUUGCAUAAUCAAUCACACUACACUUCCUGUAGAUUAUGGAUUAACACAUCCAGUGAUGAUUUGCAAUGGAACUAGACCUUUUGUCUUCACACUUUGGUUUGGCUUGUCACUGUAUCACUUCUUUGUGUACCUAACAUCACCACAACUCAAUGCAAGAUCAGAUCAUCCCAUUGGGAUCAAACUAAGAUCAUCCAUCCUGUUUGAUCACCAAUGCCACAACAAUAUAUAAACCUUGAAACAAGCCAAUCAAUCAAGGCAAGAACAAGCAGUUUUAAAUCUCUAAAAAUGACAAUGCAAGCUUUAAACAAUACAUUGAAAAUUUAGGCUCAUUUUUAAAUGCAUCAAUACAUGAAUGCACAAUCUUAAAGCAUUAGCUAUAUGAAUGCAACAGGUUCAAUCCGAGAGCAAUAUUAAAGCUAUGCACAACAGUUCCAAUCAAUACCAAUGAUGCAAGCAACUUAGACAGUUUCUAAUUGAUGCAAGACAAUCAAUGAUGGAUUAAACAUAGGCAAUAGCAUCAGACAACAAUAGGAUUGAACUUAGACAGUAUGAGACAUGCUUAUGUAUGCAAAACAGCUUAUCAAUCAUGAUGCAAGCAGCAGAGACAUUCUACUCAAGUCUACAACACAUUCAUGAUAAUUUCAAGCUAUGGCAAUACACAAGACAAUGCAAUGAACAGAACAUGAGAUUUUGGGACUCUAGACAUUACCUAAUAUCAAUAAGACAAUGCAGCAGCAAAAUAUUUCCAGUGCAAUUAGCCUAGACAUUCUACUAGAAGCUAUAAACUCUUAAUGUAAAUUAGGGAAAGCACAGAGUAUAAUCAAGAGAUAGACCUAUCAAGACAUAUUAAAAUAGAUGAGACUAGGUUUACUCCCUUGUUUAAGAUGGUGAGGAGUGGUCUCUUCAUUUCGCCACUUGAGUCCUCACUUGCUA